UUCUGAAAAAUUUAUGAAAAUACAUUUUUUUUUAGAUUGUAAUUGAUAAAUCAAAUGCAAAUGUCUAAUUGAAAUUGGGAUUGUUUUCAACAAAAUAAAUUCACGAACAAGUGACGAUAAGAGCCGAAAACAUCCGAAGAUGCUCUUGAUAUAAAUAAACAUUAAAUUUUAAUAAAUUGAUAAAUUGACAUAACCAGUAAACAAAUGUCUUAAGUAAUAAUAGAAAAAAUGUUGUGGUUUUUUAUUAUUUCAAUAUUUUCAACAUUCAAAUUUGUAUCCGCUUCUGGCGAUUUUGAUUUUGGCGACACACUGGCACUUAUUUUGGGAUUAUCUAUCGGAAUUGUUGCAUUUUUUGCCUGUAUGGGAGCUUAUGCUCGUCGAAGAGGUCAAUUUGAGACUUUAUGAGUUUGCUUUAUUGAUUUUUGAUAUUAAGAUGAAACGACUGACAACAAAAAAUGAGAUCUGAAAAACGUCUUCCCAUAUUAGUAUAAUCAAAAUUUUUUGUAUUGACAUUUCUAAAAAAAAUAUUUAACUAUGAAAAUAAAUAUUUUAUUUUGGUAA